rnacentral:rRNA from 1 species
GACGGAGGGUGCUAGCGUUGUUCGGAAUCACUGGGCGUAAAGGGCGCGUAGGCGGCCCAUGCAGUCGGCUCGUGAAAGCCCGGGGCUCAACCCCGGAGGUGCGGCCGAAACACAUGGGCUGGAGGCCGGAAGAGGAGGGUGGAAUACCCAGUGUAGAGGUGAAAUUCGUAGAUAUUGGGUGGAACACCGGUGGCGAAAGCGGCUCUCUGGUCCGGUCCUGACGCUGAGGCGCGAAAGCGUGGGGAGCAAACAGG